rnacentral:lncRNA from 1 species
AUUUUUGCUAUUUCUAUUUCUAACUUUGAGACAGAGUCUAAAUUGCCCAGAGUGGCUCCAAACUUGCGAUUCUCCUGUCUCAGCCUCCCAAGUAGCUGGGAUUACAGGUGUGCACCACCACGCCCAACUACUAAUUGAGUUUUCAAGUGCUUGACCUCAGCCUCUGAGGAGAAGGUGCCUGCAGUGAGCUGCUUUUCCUGUUUCGAAGUGGAGACUCCCAGAUCUCGAACUGCCUAUCACACAGCUGGUGGCUUCCUUGGCACCCACCUGUCUACCUGUGCCCAUGGGGGAAGCAAGGAACAAAUAUUCGACACCCACAACUGACAGAAGGAGAGGUUAAUUUGGCUUACAGUUUCCAGAGGUUUCAGUCCAUGGUCAGCACUCCAAGGCAGGAACAUCACAGCAGCAGGGCCUGGUGGAGGAAGCUGCUCACCUCAUGCAGCCAGGAAGCAGAGAGAAGGGAGGAGCCAGGGACAGGAGCAAGAAAGCACCUUCCAGGUCACACCCCAGUGACCUCCUCCAGCCAGGGCCACUUCCUAUAGCACCUUCAGCCCUGAACUCACCCAUGAUGGAUCCACUGGUGAGCACAGUGCCCCAUGCUCAGUCACCUCCUGAAGACCUUUGGGGACAAUAUAGAUCUAAAGCAUGACAGAGUCUAAUCGGGUGCUCUGCUCUCUCUUCUGAGCACCUGGCACAACCCUCCCUGCAACGCGCUGUACCGGGCAUGAGCCGUGAGCUGCUACCUGGGUGACACGGCUCCGUGUGUGUCAGGUCCAAGGUGCAUUCUGCCUCCAAAUAAAAGGCAGGUGAAGUCCAGAUGGAUUUCUUGGUUUAAAAUAGCUGGGAAAUUAUUUCAGUAGUUUCGUGUUUACUUUGUGCCAUAUUGAAAAGAUACCCUCCAAAGGAAUCCUCA